rnacentral:rRNA from 1 species
CACGUAGGGUGCAAGCGUUGUCCGGAAUCAUUGGGCGUAAAGAGCUCGUAGGCGGCUUAGUAAGUCGGGUGUGAAAACCCCAGGCUCAACCUGGGGACGCCACCCGAUACUGCCGUGACUCGAGUCCGGUAGGGGAGUGUGGAAUUCCCGGUGUAGCGGUGAAAUGCGCAGAGAUCGGGAGGAACACCCGUAGCGAAGGCGGCACUCUGGGCCGGUACUGACGCUGAGGAGCGAAAGCGUGGGGAGCGAACAGG